AAACGAUGCCACCAGUAAUCCGUCUGAGUCCCUUAAAUGACUCGACGGGCGACUUCCGGGAAACCAAAGUUUUUAGGUUCCAGGGGAAGUAUGUUUGCAAAGAUGAAACUUAAAGAAAUUGACGGAAGGGCACCACCAGGAGUGGAGCCUGCGGCUUAAUUUGACUCAACACGGGAAAACUCACCCGGCCCGGACACUGGAAGGAUUGACAGAUUGAGAGCUCUUUCUUGAUUCAGUGGGUGGUGGUGCAUGGCCGUUCUUAGUUGGUGGAGCGAUUUGUCUGGUUAAUUCCGAUAACGAACGAGACUCUAGCCUACUAAAUAGAUCGUCGGCUUACAAACGCUGAUGAGACUUCUUAGAGGGACAGGCGGCGAUUCAGCCGCACGAAACAGAGCAAUAACAGGUCUGUGAUGCCCUUAGAUGUCCGGGGCCGCACGCGCGCUACACUGAAGUGAUCAGCGUGCAUUUCCAGCCUACUCUGCCAAGAGUGGGAAACCCAAUGAACCUUCUUCGUGAUUGGGAUAGGAGAUUGUAAUUAUUCUCCUUGAACGAGGAAUUCCCAGUAAGCGCGAGUCAUAAGCUCGCGUUGAUUACGUCCCUGCCCUUUGUACACACCGCCCGUCGCUACUACCGAUUGAAUGUUUUAGUGAGGUCUUCAGACUGGCCGGCGCAGCUGCUCUCGUAGUAGCAGCGCUGUGUUUGGGAAGAUGCCCAAACUUGAACAU
rnacentral:rRNA from 1 species